rnacentral:rRNA from 1 species
AUGAGAACAUUAUGGGCAAGAAACCUAGAACCGUGGGAGUCUAUUAAGAAUUUGUGUGUUGAUGUAGUUCUCUUGGAUGAUCCUGAUACUACUAGGUGGUUCUUGACAGCUAGUGGCAUUUUUUCUGUCAAAUCCAUGUAUCAAAAAUUGUUUCCGUACAUGUCAGUUGAUAAUAAGAAGAAGAUUUGGAAGAUAAAGAUACCUCUUAAGAAUAAAAUCUUUGCAUGGUAUCUUUGUCGCGGAGUCAUUCUUACUAAAGAUAACCUUAUUAAGAGGAAUUGGCAUGGAAGUACGCAAUGUGUAUUUUGUCCGCAUGAUGAGACAAUAAAACAUUUGUUCUUCCAUUGUAAUUUGGCUCGUUCUAUAUGGUUAGUCAUCCAGAUAGCUUCUGGCCUGUAUCCUCCAUGUAGUGUUGCUAAUAUAUUUGGCAACUGGUUACAUGGGAUUGAUCACAGGUUUAGAAUUCUUCUCAGGAUGGGAGCGCUUGCCGUGAUUUGGUCGCUUUGGCUAUGUAGAAAUGAUAAGGUUUUUAACGAUAAAAGUACUUCUCUUAUGCAGGUUAUCUACAGAUGUACCGGGACGCUUCGUUUAUGGUCCUCUCUACAACGAGUGGAGAAUCGAGACCUGUUUACGGAGGUGUGUACACGAUUGGAGGCUGCGGCGAGGGAUACUUUUACCCAACAUGGGUGGCAGCAUGAUCUUAGGAUUGGGCCACCUAUGCUUUAG